CAAACAUCAGUUCUCGUGCGAUCAUCGAAGUUAAGCAACGUCGAGCGUGGCCAGUAUCUACAUGGGUGACCGCUUGGGAAUACCAGAUUCUG